GUAUCCUGGCUCAGGACGAACGCUGGCGGCGCGCCUAACACAUGCAAGUCGAACGAGCGAGAGAGAGCUUGCUUUCUCGAGCGAGUGGCGAACGGGUGAGUAACGCGUGAGGAACCUGCCUCAAAGAGGGGGACAACGAGUUGGAAACGACUGCUAAUACCGCAUAAGCCCACGGCUCGGCAUCGAGCAGAGGGAAAAGGAGCAAUCCGCUUUGAGAUGGCCUCGCGUCCGAUUAG
rnacentral:rRNA from 1 species